rnacentral:rRNA from 1 species
GAUGAACGCUGGCGGCGUGCCUAAUACAUGCAAGUCGAGCGAACGGACGAGAAGCUUGCUUCUCUGAUGUUAGCGGCGGACGGGUGAGUAACACGUGGAUAACCUACCUAUAAGACUGGGAUAACUUCGGGAAACCGGAGCUAAUACCGGAUAAUAUUUUGAACCGCAUGGUUCAAAAGUGAAAGACGGUCUUGCUGUCACUUAUAGAUGGAUCCGCGCUGCAUUAGCUAGUUGGUAAGGUAACGGCUUACCAAGGCAACGAUGCAUAGCCGACCUGAGAGGGUGAUCGGCCACACUGGAACUGAGACACGGUCCAGACUCCUACGGGAGGCAGCAGUAGGGAAUCUUCCGCAAUGGGCGAAAGCCUGACGGAGCAACGCCGCGUGAGUGAUGAAGGUCUUCGGAUCGUAAAACUCUGUUAUUAGGGAAGAACAUAUGUGUAAGUAACUGUGCACAUCUUGACGGUACCUAAUCAGAAAGCCACGGCUAACUACGUGCCAGCAGCCGCGGUUAUACGUAGGUGGCAAGCGUUAUCCGGAAUAUUUGGCCGUAAGCGCGCGUAGGCGGUUUUUUAAGUCUGAUGUGAAAGCCCACGGCUCAACCGUGGAGGGUCAUUGGAAACUGGAAAACUUGAGUGCAGAAGAGGAAAGUGGAAUUCCAUGUGUAGCGGUGAAAUGCGCAGAGAUAUGGAGGAACACCAGUGGCGAAGGCGACUUUCUGGUCUGUAACUGACGCUGAUGUGCGAAAGCGUGGGGAUCAAACAGGAUUAGAUACCCUGGUAGUCCACGCCGUAAACGAUGAGUGCUAAGUGUUAGGGGGUUUCCGCCCCUUAGUGCUGCAGCUAACGCAUUAAGCACUCCGCCUGGGGAGUACGACCGCAAGGUUGAAACUCAAAGGAAUUGACGGGGACCCGCACAAGCGGUGGAGCAUGUGGUUUAAUUCGAAGCAACGCGAAGAACCUUACCAAAUCUUGACAUCCUUUGACAACUCUAGAGAUAGAGCCUUCCCCUUCGGGGGACAAAGUGACAGGUGGUGCAUGGUUGUCGUCAGCUCGUGUCGUGAGAUGUUGGGUUAAGUCCCGCAACGAGCGCAACCCUUAAGCUUAGUUGCCAUCAUUAAGUUGGGCACUCUAAGUUGACUGCCGGUGACAAACCGGAGGAAGGUGGGGAUGACGUCAAAUCAUCAUGCCCCUUAUGAUUUGGGCUACACACGUGCUACAAUGGACAAUACAAAGGGCAGCGAAACCGCGAGGUCAAGCAAAUCCCAUAAAGUUGUUCUCAGUUCGGAUUGUAGUCUGCAACUCGACUACAUGAAGCUGGAAUCGCUAGUAAUCGUAGAUCAGCAUGCUACGGUGAAUACGUUCCCGGGUCU